GACGAACGCUGGCGGCGUGCUUAACACAUGCAAGUCGAACGGAAAGGCCCUGCUUGCAGGGUACUCGAGUGGCGAACGGGUGAGUAACACGUGGGUGAUCUGCCCUUCACUUCGGGAUAAGCCUGGUAAACUGGGUCUAAUACCGGAUAUGACCUUCCAUGUAGUGUGGGGGGUGGAAAGAUUUAUCGGUGUGGGAUGAGCCCGCGGCCUAUCAGCUUGUUGGUGGGGUAAUGGCCUACCAAGGCGUCGACGGGUAGCCGGCCUGAGAGGGUGGACGGCCACAUUGGGACUGAGAUACGGCCCAGACUCCUACGGGAGGCAGCAGUGGAGAAUAUUGCACAAUGGGCGGAAGCCUUAUGCAGCGACGCCGCGUGGGGGAUGACGGCCUUCGGGUUGUAAACCUCUUUCGACAGGGACGAAGCUUCGGUGACGGUACCUGUAUAAGAAGCACCGGCUAACUACGUG
rnacentral:rRNA from 1 species